rnacentral:rRNA from 1 species
CACGUAGGGCGCAAGCGUUGUCCGGAAUUAUUGGGCGUAAAGAGCUCGUAGGCGGCGUGUCGCGUCGGAUGUGAAAGCCCGGGGCUUAACUCCGGGUCUGCAUUCGAUACGGGCAUGCUUGAGUGUGGUAGGGGAGAUCGGAAUUCCUGGUGUAGCGGUGAAAUGCGCAGAUAUCAGGAGGAACACCGGUGGCGAAGGCGGAUCUCUGGGCCAUUACUGACGCUGAGGAGCGAAAGCGUGGGGAGCGAACAGG